GAUGGUUAUAGGCAAACCUAUUGAAAAGUAGGGACGCAAAGCUACAGGUCUAAAGUAAUUAUUACUAUGACGGCUGAGCUGCUCAA
rfam:Sporosarcina psychrophila strain DSM 6497, complete genome.